GAUCCUGGCUCGAGGAUGAACGCUGGCGGCGUGCCUAACACAUGCAAGUCGAGCGAUUUACUUCGGUAAAGAGCGGCGGACGGGUGAGUAACGCGUGGGUAACCUGCCUCAUACACAUGGAUAACAUACCGAAAGGUAUGCUAAUACAGGAUAAUAUAAGAGAUUCACAUGGAUUUCUUAUCAAAGCUCCGGCGGUAUGAGAUGGACCCGCGUCUGAUUAACUAGUUGGUAAGGUAAUGGCUUACCAAGGCGACGAUCAGUAGCCGACCUGAGAGGGUGAUCGGCCACAUUGGAACUGAGACACAGUCCAAACUCCUACGGGAGGCAGCAGUGGGAAUAUUGCACAAUGGGCGAAAGCCUGAUGCAGCAACGCCGCGUGAGUGAUGAAGGCCUUCGGGUCGUAAAACUCUGUCCUCAAGGAAGAUAAUGACGGUACUUGAGGAGGAAGCCCCGGCUAACUACGUGCCAGCAGCCGC
rnacentral:rRNA from 1 species